CGGGAUUGUUGAAUGAUGAUUACUGAGUGAUCCAUCGGCUGACUCGCUGUGCUGAUCUUCAAUAAACUGACAACACCCG